rnacentral:rRNA from 1 species
UACAGAGGAUGCAAGCGUUGCUCGGAAUCAUUGGGCGUAAAGGGCAAGUAGGUGGUCUCAUUUGUCUUGUGUGAAAUCCUUGGGCUUAACUCAAGAAGUGCGCAAGAAACGGUGAGACUCGAGUUCUGGAGAGGGUCGUGGAAUUCCCGGUGUAGCGGUGAAAUGCGUAGAGAUCGGGAGGAACACCAGAGGCGAAGGCGGCGACCUGGACAGACACUGACACUCAACUGCGAAAGCGUGGGGAGCAAACAGG